AAGGGAGAUGUAGUUACAAUUCCAGUGCACUGGCCCACUCUCUCUCUCUCUCUCUCUUGGUGGUGUGAGACUUUCUACAACCGAAUGUCUAAAUACCAUGAAUGUCCCAUCACUGAACCAGGAGCAAUUAUCAAGAGGACUCUAAGGGAAGGCAAGCACACACACUAGACUGGCCUAGAAGUAUGGGGAUUGGUGCUUACUCUCUGUGAUCCUGUACCUUCAAUGAACUUCACUGCUCAGCAUCCGUCUCCCUCCCUGGAGCCUGCUCACAGUUGUUUCUUCAGCUCUAUCACAGUGUCAAAUACACCUCCUUCCAGUGAAUAUUCGGAAUGAUGUUUUUAUUUAUUAGGUUGAAGCAGUUGGUGUGCUUUAGAAAAUGAUCAUAGAACAUUGGGUCGGGCAGCUCUGUAGAAAAACAUGGAAGCAGCUGAAGGUGUUCCUCCCUUUGUUUGUAUGCUUCUGGAAGCCAUCAGAGGCCAUCCAUCAAACAACCUGGCCUGUCUUUUGUGCUGUCACACAGGGCUGGAGCAUAUGGGAAGAAUUAAUGUGGCAGAUGAGAGGAAAAUAAGUACUGGUAUACAAAGACAAAAGGAGUUCCAUCCUGUUUAUUCCAUUAAGUCUUAGCAUUUAUUUUUUUUAGACAUAUGCCAUAUUUAGGUUAUAGAAAAGAAAAUGUUCCUUU
rnacentral:lncRNA from 1 species